rnacentral:rRNA from 1 species
UUGAAUUGAAGAGUUUGAUCAUGGCUCAGAUUGAACGCUGGCGGCAGGCUUAACACAUGCAAGUCGAACGGUAGCAGGAAGCGCUUGCGCUUUGCUGACGAGUGGCGGACGGGUGAGUAAUGCUUGGGAAUCUGGCUUAUGGAGGGGGAUAACUACGGGAAACUGUAGCUAAUACCGCGUAAUAUCUUCGGAUUAAAGUAUGGGAUCGCAAGACCAUAUGCCAUAA